UGUUAUUACCCAGAAUCCCCCCAGUGGAGAAAUUUACACAGGAGAGAGAGUCACCCUGAGCUGUGGGUUUGGGGGAGACCCUGCUGGCUGGGAGUAUGUCUGGUACAAAGACCCACUGAGACAUACUGUUGCCAACACUGACAGCAGCAGGACUGAUGGGUCCAGUUUCACCAUCAGCUCUGCUGCUCUGGCCCACAGUGGAGAGUACCGGUGUUGAGCUGCAAGAGGAAGAAAACCUUUUUACUCAGUCUACAGUGAUCCUCUGACUUUAGAAAUAUCUGCAUUACCUGAAACACAUCUGACCGUGCAAUCUGGAUGGACAGAGGUCUUCCCCGCUGAAACAGUGACUCUGAGAUGUGUAAUUCAGGGCAGCUCUACAGACUGGAUGUAUAAAUGGUACAGAGAUGGACAGGAGCUUCCUGUAGACAAAGCUGACUCCAGCAGUGUAAAUGGAGACACAUACACAAUCCUCUCUGCUGAUCAGUCACAUUCUGGACUGUACACCUGCAGAGGAGAACUUACAAGGAGAGCAUCUGUGCACUCUCUGAUUGGCAGCUCUGCUACAUUGAGUGUACGAGUUUACCAUUCUGUGGAGAAUGUGGUUCGGAUCUGUGUGGGCAUGGCAGUUCUCCUCUUUCUGUCAAUCAUUGUGAAUCCAGCCUUCUGGAGAUGGGUAUCACGCCGGAAAGUGGUACACAGUGGGGAGGAACUGGCUGACCAAAGUGACCAUACCUGACCACACAGUGUGGCAUGAGUUUGUUUUCAUUAUUGCUUUGCUAAAUAUUACAUGACAUAUUGUAUCAUUUAUUAAAGUAGACUUACUAAAAAAAUAUAUAUGUAUAAAUGUGCAUCUUACGGGCUUGAAGGCUUAAUGUAAUAUCUGGCAAAACAUGGCUUUGAAAUACAGGAGUUUUCUCAUGAAUUGUCAUUAGGGAUAGUUUGCACUCUCACACAGCCCUGGUCAUCGCAUUACUUCUAAUCAGUGUCAUUCUGCAUGUCAUUCUUUGCGUAGGGCAGGGUACAGCAUGGUACUUAACCUGCAUUGCUUCAGUAUAUGUCCAGCUAUAUGAAUUGAUACUAUGUUAAUGGAUGCAAUGUAAAUAGUGUGAA